rnacentral:lncRNA from 1 species
GAAGAUGCCCCUCCUUUUAACCAACCUAUUGCUCAUACUUCUUCUCUUCCUACUGAUCAACCUACUGCUCAUGUCUCUUCUCCUAUAGCUGCUACUCCUAGUAGUUAUACUGCUGCUCCUAGUAGUUCUAUUGCUGCUCCUACUAAUUCUACUGCUGCACCUUUUGAAUCUGUUGUAGAUUCAGAUGUAGAAUCUAUUGAUGGAGGUAUAGAGAUUGGGAGUGAUGUGGAUGAAUAUGUGGAUGAAGAGUUAAGAGGUUUUAGGGA